CAGUAGCCGCGGUAACACGUAGGGGGCGAGCGUUGUCCGAAGUUACUGGGCGUAAAGAGCGUGUAGGCGGCCUGGGGCGUCCCAUGUGAAAGGCCACGGCUCAACCGUGGAGGAGCGUGGGAUACGCUCAGGCUAGAGGGUGGGAGAGGGUGGUGGAAUUCCCGGAGUAGCGGUGAAAUGCGCAGAUACCGGGAGGAACGCCGAUGGCGAAGGCAGCCACCUGGUCCACUUCUGACGCUGAGGCGCGAAAGCGUGGGGAGCAAACCGGAUUAGAUACCCCUGUAGUCCCUGUCUCUUAUAC
rnacentral:rRNA from 1 species